AUUGAACGCUGGCGGCAGGCCUAACACAUGCAAGUCGAGCGGAUGAAGGGAGCUUGCUCCUGGAUUCAGCGGCGGACGGGUGAGUAAUGCCUAGGAAUCUGCCUGGUAGUGGGGGAUAACGUCCGGAAACGGGCGCUAAUACCGCAUACGUCCUGAGGGAGAAAGUGGGGGAUCUUCGGACCUCACGCUAUCAGAUGAGCCUAGGUCGGAUUAGCUAGUUGGUGGGGUAAAGGCCUACCAAGGCGACGAUCCGUAACUGGUCUGAGAGGAUGAUCAGUCACACUGGAACUGAGACACGGUCCUGACUCCUACGGGAGGCAGCAGUGGGGAAUAUUGGACGAUGGGCGAAAGCCUGAUCCAGCCAUGCCGCGUGUGUGAAGAAGGUCUUCGGAUUGUAAAGCACUUUAAGUUGGGAGGAAGGGCAGUAAGUUAAUACCUUGCUGUUUUGACGUUACCAACAGAAUAAGCACCGGCUAACUUCGUG
rnacentral:rRNA from 1 species